rnacentral:rRNA from 1 species
AACGAACGCUGGCGGCAGGCUUAACACAUGCAAGUCGAACGCCCCGCAAGGGGAGUGGCAGACGGGUGAGUAACGCGUGGGAACAUACCCUUUCCUGCGGAAUAGCUCUGGGAAACUGGAAUUAAUACCGCAUACGCCCUACGGGGGAAAGAUUUAUCGGGGAAGGAUUGGCCCGCGUUGGAUUAGCUAGUUGGUGGGGUAAAGGCCUACCAAGGCGACGAUCCAUAGCUGGUCUGAGAGGAUGAUCAGCCACAUUGGGACUGAGACACGGCCCAAACUCCUACGGGAGGCAGCAGUGGGGAAUAUUGGACAAUGGGCGAAAGCCUGAUCCAGCCAUGCCGCGUGAGUGAUGAAGGCCUUAGGGUUGUAAAGCUCUUUCAGUGGGGAAGAUAAUGACGGUACCCACAGAAGAAGCCCCGGCUAACUUCGUGCCAGCAGCCGCCGUAACAC